GACAUCCUCUUUUCAAUUUCAAGAGAAGCAAGGCCUCUUAGAGGAAGGUAGCUUUUGUGACUAGCCAAAUCUGCACAAAGUUGGAGGAAUUCUAGGAAGACGGAUGGGCCUUUGGUGUAGGUUGGAAAGAACAAUGUUUAAAAAUACCCUGUCUCCUCCCUGAGAGGAGGAAGUGCUCGGAGCUCAUUGAGUGGGUGAGGAUCUUGGCAACCUGGCCAGGGAGGCAAUGGGAGAAUGACUGGAUGCCUACAUGUGACUGUGAUAACCUGUGUAUGGAAUCAUUUGAGAGAAGUAUCAAUUGUCCCAAAAUGUCUACCGGAGCAGUGAGGGUGAGGUGGGAAUUUUUUCUGAAUCGUGGACUCAGAACCAGUUAAGUGCAUGACUGACACAACACAUGAACUUUGAACAAUUACAUUCAAACAUCAGGACAGUCUUUGUUAACAUCGCCAACUCUCUUCCUUAUUACCAGUAGAAACUGGGAGAGAAGUGGCAUUCCAAAGGGACUCUGCAAGACUGU
rnacentral:lncRNA from 1 species